rnacentral:lncRNA from 1 species
GGAAAUUUAGACAAUAAGACUUUAAUGUCCGAAAAGAAAAUCCGUCUUCUUCCAAGAGUCCUGAAAAUAAAACAGAGGAAACAAGAAGAAUAUAAGUCGAUAUAUAUAACAGAUUAUAUAUAUUAUAAAAAUAAAAAUAAAAAAUAUAUCCAAUAAAUAAUUAUUAACAAAAUCGCGUGUAUAUGCAUGUGGUGAUAAAAAAUUACACAAUUAUGAUAAAUCAUAAUUGAGACAAUUAAACUCUUAAUUAAGGCACAAUUAAUAAAAUAUUAACGCCCUUAAUUAAGACACAAAUAACGCCCUCAAAUAAGGCACAAUUAACAUCCUCAAUUAGAGGCACAAUUUACGCCCAAUAAGGCACAAUUUACGCCCUCAUAAUUAUGAGGCACAAUUAACGUCAUCAAUUAACGCCUUCCUUUCUGAAUUAUCCCGUACUGAUCGGAAUGUUGUCGCCACAACCCUCAGCCACCACCGCUAUCACCGCUAAGCUAUCUCUCCCGCACACCACCGUAAAAAAGACAAUGACCAUCCGAAUUAUAUCCAUCCACAUACACAAGCAAGCCCUCUAGUUUCGCUCCUGCAACACAACACAAUACUCCUUGCUUUCUCCGUUUGAUCCAUCUCCGCAAUGUCCUCACUCCGAUGACAAAUUCUCACGCCGGUAUCACUAGCGGUGAAAACCGAGAACUUCUGAUCGGAAACAUAGUCUCUAGUGAGCAGAUCGGUGGCCUUUUGCCGAUGUUUGUGCAGGAGUAGCCAUGGGAGUCGGAGAAUCAAGGAUAUUCACAAACGGCAGCGUAUCGGAGUUUGAUGGGCUGAAACUUUGAAUUCAGCGGAGAGUAAAUUUAACACCUUUUUGAUCUGAAAGUGAGCCUUCAAUAUUCAUGCACCAAUAGCUUAGGCUAACAAACACAUGGUUCAAGAUGACAAAGGACAUGUUUUGUUUCUACCAAGUCACAGAAAUUAACUACAGGAUUUAACACUCAUUCACAUGACACAUACGACCGAACCCACUAAGCCAAACACACCAUCUUCUCUCUCUUUUAGUUAACUUUUUCCUCUCAUUUAUAUAAAAUAAAUAUAAAAUGUGAAUAAG